rnacentral:rRNA from 1 species
CGGACGGGUGAGUAAUGUAUGGGGAUCUGCCUGAUGGCGGGGGAUAACUACUGGAAACGGUAGCUAAUACCGCAUAACGUCGCAAGACCAAAGAGGGGGACCUUCGGGCCUCGCGCCAUCAGAUGAACCCAUAUGGGAUUAGCUAGUAGGUGGGGUAACGGCUCACCUAGGCGACGAUCCCUAGCUGGUCUGAGAGGAUGACCAGCCACACUGGAACUGAGACACGGUCCAG